rnacentral:lncRNA from 1 species
UGUUGGUUUCUAUUUCCCUCACUGAGCAGCAACUGCAGUCACAAGACAUUGUUUUGCAUUCCACAGUCUGUACUGUUGGAGUUUCUCACGGGAAAGGGAGACUGGAUGUGACGUACACUGGUUUCCUGUUUUUUCACUGUGUGAUUCUCUCCAAGCUGUUGAGGAGAGAGGAUGCAUUUCUCUGCUCCUGCAGAGGCAAGAUGUCUUUCUGUAAUAUACCAGCUUUGAACUGUAAAUAAAGCAAUAUAGAGUAUGUAACACAUUUUCCUCAUCCUUCCGCUGGGCACGACAGACUCUGCUUUAAAUCAACACGUGGUUAUGGACUCCAGAGGUCGAAUCGGAGUGCCGGCAGAGGAUCGGAAUGCAGAGGAACGGAUCGGAAAGGAAUCUGCUCUGCGCGUAGAAGUGAUUGAUGAGGUAUGUGCUACUGCUCCGGGCAGCCUGCCAGCUUCAAGAUAAUGGCUUUAUGGCUGGACUUUGAACUUUUAAAGCCGGUUUUGCCGGGAAUAGGCAAAAGGCUCCCAGGCACAAGUCACUAUGCUGGGGAAAUCGAAAGUAACUUUUAAGUGUGCCUUUGUAAUGAAGCAGCUGCAGCAGUGACGCAGCAAGAUUUAAAGCAGCAUAUAAUGACGCUGAAGGCUAAUGCCAGAGUCAUGAUGGCCCUUCAGGAUGCUUGUGGGAUUCCUAAGCUCAACAAGAAUAAUUACAGCGACUGGGUUCAGUAUGCAGAGGCAAUUCUGCGGAAAGAGGGUUUGUUUGAGGUGAUUACAGGAACCCCCCCAGUUCCAGUUACAGAUGCAUGGGAAGCUAAGGAUUCCAAAGCAAGGGGAACUCUUACAUUGAUAGUAUCCCCAGAAGAGCUCUGUCUAUUGCGUGAUAAGACCUCAGCCAGAGAAAUUUGGGACGCUCUGAGAGAGGCUCACUUAAGGACAGAAGCUGGAUCAACUAUGUUUUACUUUAACAAGCUGCAUAAUAUGGCUCUUGCUGAAGGUGGAGAUGUACGUUUACAUCUGAUGGAGAUGCAAAAUCUGAGACAUGAGCUGCAACAGAGAGGACUCAACUUUCCAGAGGCUGUGUAUUCUUUCAUGAUACUACAAUCUUUGGGUUCAGGUUGGGAGUCUGUUGCAACCCAGAUUGCUGUGCAACCAACUGCUCAGCUGACAGUGGACUUUGUUACUGCCGUGAUUUUAAAUGAAGCAGAUCGCCGGGGUGCUAGCUGCAUGGGCAAGGGAGAGUCUUCACAGACGUCAUCCCAUAGUGCAGUGGAACCACCAGAUGGCGCCAAAGCUUUGGAGGCAGUGAAAUGCUACUCGUGUGGACGUCUAGGCCAUAUGAAGAGGGAAUGCAGACAUCCCAGGGCCAAGACAGAGCAGCGCAGCGAAAGCUCAUCGCGCGGAAAAGGCCGAGGCAAAGGCAAAGGUCCGGUGUCUAGGACAACGCAGCACAAGGCUAUGGUUUCACGCUUCACUCCAAAGGUUGCAGAGGUCCAGAAGACGUCUAGAUCUUUCUUCGUUGUUGAUUCAGCGGCCACCCACCACAUGUGCAACGAUAAGAAACUGUUUGUGUCUUUUACACCGCAGGAAGGUGCGAUUCACCAGGCGGAUGACCACACUAUUCCCAGUAAAGGCUACGGAACUGUAGUUCUUCACAGUUUGGACUUAUCGAUACAGAAUGUGCUUUACGUGCCAGACGCCAAACAUAAUCUGCUCAGCGUUGGACAGCUGAAUGAGCGGAACAUUGACGUUUCCUUCAAGAACAAGAAGUGCAUCAUCACAAAGAAAAAUGAUUAUGUAUUGCAUGCAGAAUAUGUUGAUCAUUUGUUUGUUUUGUAUUAUGAUGAUGUGGUGCAGGAUGACACUUGUUGCAUUGCAGGUUCUAACAAAAGUUUGCAUGCAGAAUGUAUUCACGAUUUUCAUCGCAAAUUUGGUCAUUUGCAUUUUGAGGCAGUAUCUAAAAUGCCUGCCUUGGUUGAAGGUAUGACUAUUAAACCCUGCAGGUACCACAUGAAGUGCAAAGCAUGCGCAGCAAACAAGGUGAAAAUGGCUGCGAAAGGUAAGGUGUCUAGUAGGAAAGCUACAGAACCAUACCAGGUUGUUCAUGCUGAUUUGGUUGGACCACUAACGCCCUCUUUGGGUGGAAAUAGAUACUUCAUGGUUCUCAUUGAUGCAUUUUCUAGAUAUAUUUUUGUGUACAAUCUCAAGCAGAAAUCGGAGGCUUUUCCUAGGUUCAAGGAAUUCUGUGCUUGGUUGGAAAAUGUGCAUGGUAAGAAGAUAAAGACUCUUUUCAGUGAUCGCGGGGGGGAAUUCACUUCUCAGCAGUUUGAAGCUUUUCUGACUGAGAAAGGAAUUCAACACGAUUUGUCUAGUCCUCGCUCGCCAUGGCAGAAUGGACUUGCGGAACGGGCAAAUCAGACUUUGCUUCAAGGUUUAAAAACCUUGCUGCAUGAUGCCAAUCUUCCAGAGAGUUAUUGGGCCGAAUCUCUCUCGUGUUUUGUUUAAAGUUACACCGCAGGUUAUCUUCAGCGAUUGGUUGUACCUCUAUGAGAAGAUGUUUGGCAAGAAGCCAUACAUCAAACACAUGAAAAUUUUUGGUUCUGACAUGUGGGUUCACUCACCACAAAACUCCAAGUUAGACAAGCGUGGAUUGCAUGGUAUCUUUCUAGGUUAUCAGAAAGGGUCUUACAGAAUAAUGAUGACUGACUCUAAGACAAUUAAGCUCACGAGAAGUGUUGAGUACAAUGCAAAGUGGGGGAGAAUGUGGGAAUUUUCCAAUGUUAUCCUGAUGACGGUGAUGAGACUGAGGAUAGUCAAAAGCAACCACAACAGCCCACACCCACUGAUGAAGGUUCUGAGUCUGAAUCUGAAACUGAAUCGGGUGAUUCAGAGGAUUUCAAGAGUGCGAAAGCCUCUAUGCGAACCCUCUGAAAGCUCUGAUCAAGAAUUGGAGGAACCAUUGUUCACAAUAGGUCGUUUUUCUCCUAAGAAGGAAGAGGAGAGUGUUGAAGACUUAAGGAUAAUUCGUAGGUCACAGAGAGCCACAAAAGGCAAACCUCCAAAGAGAUUUGCUGAUGAGUUUGCUAAGAUAGCAGUAACAGCUGUUAAAAGCUCCAAGAAGGUAUUUGAACCUUCAAGUUUCCAAGAAAUCCAGGGUUUGGAUUCAAAGGAAGCUGAGCCAUGGUUAAAUGCCAUGAAGGCUGAGCUUGAUUCCUUAGAAAGGAACAAAACAUGGGAGCUAGUUCCAGUAGUUCCAGGAAUGAAACUGCUUGGAAGCACAUGGGUCUUCAAAGCGAAGACAGAUCAAAAUGGCAAGAUAGUCAGACACAAAGCCAGAUUGGUAGCCAGAGGUUUUGCACAGGUACCAGGUGAAGACUAUCACGAGACCUAUUCACCCACAGUGAGAUAUGAAAGCAUUAGGCUUAUGCUUAAGCUAGCUGCAGAGGAAAAUCUACACAUUAGUCACCAUGAUAUUAAUACAGCUUUUCUGUACGGAUCUCUAGAUGAAUCACUUUAUAUGCUUCCACCUGAUGGCGUACAGGUAAAACAGGGAUUUGUUUGUGCUCUGAAGAAAUCCCUUUAUGGUCUCAAACAAAGUGCACGGUGUUGGCACACAAAACUCACUGAAGUAUUGUUUUCUCUAGGUUUUCAGCAAGGGAAAGCUGAUCCAUGUGUAUUUGUCAAAGAGGAGGGGCAAAAGAAACUGUACUGUUUGUUUUAUGUUGAUGAUUUAUUAUUCUUUUGGAAAGAUGUUGCAAUGUACAAUAGCGCCCUAGCUCAACUGAAAGAGCACUUUGACAUGAAAGAUCUUGGUGAGGUAAACAACUACCUAUCUCUGGAAAUAGAGAGAGAUCAAGAUGGUAACAUUCUAGUACACCAGUCACGGAAAAUUGCUGAUGUGUUAAGCAAACUAAAUCUGAUGGAUGCUAACCCUGUAGACACACCGAUGACAACAGGUUAUCAGGUAGAUGACACUGAAGAAGCAUUUUCUGACACUACACUAUACAGGAGUGUGCUAGGCAAGCUAAACUUCAUUGCCAGAUGUUCAAGACCAGACAUUGCUGUUAGCUGUAAUUUGCUAAGCAGACAAGUCAACAAUCCUAGUGUCAAGGAUUGAAAGCUCUGAAACGCAUAGCGCGGUAUUUGAAAGGCACUAUGCAUUACAGACUGAGAUUUAACAAUCAGAAGUCUGGUGGUCUUGAGAUAUUUGCAGAUGCAAGUUUUGGAAGUGACGCUACAGACAGGAAAAGUACAUCUGGAGUUUGCUACAUGUACAAUCAGAGUCUGUUUGAUUGGUCAUGCAAGAAGCAAACAACAGUUAGCUUAAGUACUUGUGAAGCCGAACUGAAUGCACUGUCUUAUUCACUUAAGGAUUGUGAAUGGUUAGUACAAUUAUGCAAAGAUAUAAAAAUUCCUGUCAAAUGUCCAAUCCAAGUUUACCAGGACAACAAAGCAUGUUUGGCUUUGCUCAAGUCUGAAGGUUGUAAGCAAAGCACAAAGCACUUGCAAUUAAAGUUGCAGCAUGCUAGGGAAUGUAUUCAGAAGGGACUCGUAACGGUGUCCUAUAUGCCAGGUAAUGAAAUUCCUGCUGAUGUAUUGUCCAAGAUUGUAUCAAGGGAUCAACACUGUACCUAUGUGCAGAAGUUGGGUUUGUACUGAUAUUGUACAAACACGCUGCCCAGUGAUGUUCACAGAAAGGGGAGGAUGUUGGUUUCUAUUUCCCUCACUGAGCAGCAACUGCAGUCACAAGACAUUGUUUUGCAUUCCACAGUCUGUACUGUUGGAGUUUCUCACGGGAAAGGGAGACUGGAUGUGACGUACACUGGUUUCCUGUUUUUUCUUUGUGAGAUUCUCUCCAAGCUGUUGAGGAGAGAGGAUGCAUUUCUCUGCUCCUGCAGAGGCAAGAUGUCUUUCUGUAAUAUACCAGCUUUGAACUGUAAAUAAAGCAAUAUAGAGUAUGUAACACAUUUUCCUCAUCCUUCCGCUGGGCACGACAGACUCUGCUUUAAA